CAAGACGUAGCUUAGCCAAAAGCAUUCAGCUUACACCUGAAAGACAUCUAUUAAUAACAGGUCGUCUUGA
rnacentral:tRNA from 1 species